UCCACACCUCCUCCAUCACUCUUUCCUCCUGUUUUCUCUGUAUUGUCUGUUGGAUCAGUCUUUCUUGUGGUUCUACUGGUGUUACUGGUUCUGCUGGUGAGACAAGAUGUUGAGAGGAAAGUUGAAGAGACUGAUACAGCUGUGGUCUACUCAGCAGUAAGAGCUGAAGACAUCAGGAAUGGACAAACAACCAUCAGAACAAGGCCGUCCAGGUCUUGCUGCCUUUUAACAGAAACAAGACUUUAAACCAGAGCCAGACGUCGUCUACUCUUCACUGAAGUAGUCCACCAGUCCAACCACUGACGUCCAGCUGCUGGUUUCUAACUGGUCCCCCCAGCACCUCAGACCACAGGACAUGUUUGAAGAUUUCUUUAUAUAUUUCAUAUUUUUUAUGUUGUUUUUUUCACUUUCUAGACCAAAAUGACUCAAAUGCAAAAUUUUGUUAUGUUACUAUGUCCCAUGUCCUCGGUAACUGGUUGGAAUUGUUGUAGUUCAUUCAUGAUUGUUGGCUCUUGUUUCCCGUCAGUGAUCUGGUUUCACUGGUUUUCUUCAUGUGCUUCUGUGGGUUUCAAAAAACUGUCACAUGGAAAAUCUGACUAGUGUGAUUGUUGCUAACACACACACAGCUUUAAUGCAGAAAGCAAAGAAUAAACGUUAAACUACAACCACAGACUGAACACAGCAGAAGCAUCAUUCAGUGGCCGCAGAAAACCUUCAUGAUGUUUGUGUUUGAUGCUGCAGAGUUUUUAUUUCAGGUUCAGGUCUGUUCAUGUGUCUCUGCACAGCUGUAAUUAAAAUGUGUUCAGAGGGCCUCAGUGUCUGAAUGGUUCCAGUUCAGCUCCAUAACAGCAGCGUCCCUGGUUUGAUUCCUGUGUUUCAGCUCAUAUCUGCCUCUCUCACUGAGGGACACACACACACACACACACUGACACCUCACUGUCCUUGAACCAAUAGAAAGCUGGUGCUCAGAGGAAGGGGGCGGGCUUUACUUGGUGUCAGUGAGAGAAAUGAAAAAAAGCUCAAAUGAGUGAGAAGGACGAUGAAGGAA